AUGCAACUUGCCACUUCAACAGCUUUUAAGACGCACGGUUUAUUUAAUUACAGUUCUGCCACUAGUUACAGCGACUUCAGACUCAUUCAUCAAGUGAGUGAACAUUCUUCCUAGGGGCAGCGCUCCGGGGAUAAGUGGCCGGUGGAGUUAUCAUCACCUGAUAUUUUCUUGUUAAGGGUUCUCUCCCACUUGCACAUCCCUUCACAGUAUCUGCUGGCGGCAGAAAUUGGUAAUUGACAAUUAGGUUAAUUUCUGGCGUUAAGCAGAGAGUGUCGCUUUAAGACGCGGUGCUAACUUGCAGUGAAGAAAAGAUGUAUGAAAUUCCAAACAGGCUUCGGGGAGGGCAAUGACAGGACAAACAGCACCCGAUUUGUUGGAAAAGAAUUGAGGAGAAAGAGAGGUCGGUUUGGCGCGUGGUAUUAUCUGACCACAUUUUUUGUUGUUGUUGCUGGUAUUAGACAUUGUGUCGAGUUUCUCAAGUGCAAUGCAUCGCAAAGACUGCCUGGGAGGGAGAAGGAGCGGGAUACAAUUGGCGUCCUUAACUGGGUUUCUAACAGCCAUUCCUCCGCCUGAUGGGAACCCUGCAUUGGAGAGAAUAAUCCGCUCGCCGGCUUCCCGGGAAAGUUGCUGCUGGUUCACAUGUUCACUGUUAACGUGACCGAAAGGCAGGAGGCAACUCUAUCAAGCCCAUGAGACUGAGCAUCCCCCCCCCCCCCCCCCAAUCCAACACCCCCAGUCACACCUCUCUCUGGUUACCCCGACUCUUGCAGGUAAGGAGUGAGUGGCGGGAGAAUCAAAGCCCGGGAAACAAUCCCAGAGGAGGUGUGGACACACACACACACAGACAGAGGAGGGAUCACUGCAGCACCGCCAGUACAAGGGCACGGAGAGAUUGGCGCUUCACACACACACACACACCAAACAAAAAGACAGGGGGAGGGGAGGGGAAUGUCUCCGUGGUCCAGUCAGAGUUAAAUGAGCUCGGUGGACGGGAUUGAAAUAAGACUUCAUUACCGCCCACGGCCCCUUGCACAUGCUCACGUAGUAAACUUGUCUUCGUUUCAACGUCAGGCAUGAAGGAUAUUUCUGUCAACUUUGACACCGACUGCCCUGAUAGAUGACCCGCUGCUCCCGGGAAACUUCUCAGUUGCUGGUGACGAGGCGAUGCGCUGGUUCAUUCCGCAUCCUGCCGGGUUGUUUCCAGAGAAGGAGGGCGCGGAGAUACAGAGGCUUUGCUCUUGGGGGGGUGGGGGGAGCCGGUAAGCACUGACGUGCAAGCUCAGCCUUUGGACCUGGGGCAGAAGACGAGGGUUUCCGGGCUCCGCUGCUGCUUUGCUCCUUGUAACGCCGUCUAUCCACCCUUUCCUCCCCGGAACCAGUGAGGGCUCCCUCAGUACAAUCCCGUAACCCGGGGAGGCUGAGAGCCUACAUCCUUUCCUUGGUAUCGCUGCAAACCUUCCUGUGGAACCGAGCUGCCGCCUGAGAACUGGCGAGACGUGGACGGCACAGCGACUUUCCGGGGGCUAACUGGAUCAGUCGGCUCGUUAUCAGCGGAUUUCCACUUAACCCUCUCUGCACAACAUGGACCAGCCUCAGAACUGAGCAGGGGGGAGGAGGAGGAGGAGGGGUGUGUGGGGAGGCAAGUGAUGGCCCGCGCCUCCUGGACACGCUUCUAGCCCAGACGUGAGAGAGCGAAUGAAGUCAAGCCUGUUCUGAUAAACCAAUUAGUCUGCCGCUAUUUUCAUGGGGAAAGCGAUGAAGGAGAGUCGGUAGUUCAAGCAUUCCCACAGAGUUGGCCCUUUCCCAUAGGGAGACGCGAUGGUCCCUACAAUGUCAGUGUUGCUGUCUCUCUGGAUAACAGCCUGCGCCCUGGUGUUCAGUCACGGAGCCCUUCCGCCAACACUCGAGCAACUUUAUCUGCACCGGCCAGAUGGAGGUACAUGUGAAGUCAUAGCUGCACACAGAUGCUGUAACAAGAAUCGAAUUGAAGAACGAUCACAGACUGUAAAGUGUUCCUGUCUGCCAGGGAAAGUAGCUGGGACAACCAGAGCCAAACCAUCUUGUGUUGAUGCUUCCAUUGUUAUUGGGAAAUGGUGGUGUGAGAUGGACCCCUGUAUAGAGGGAGAGGAAUGCAAGACAUUACCAGAUAAUUCAGGAUGGAUGUGUGCUUCUGGCAAUAGAGUUAAGACUACAAAGUUAUUUGCAAAGGACCACAUUAUGGGAAGAGUUGAGGAACUGUAAUCCAGUUUCAGAUGGUGUGGUUGGAGUGAUUGCCGUCAUCAUAGAUAUUAGUUUAUCUAUCAUGGUUUCAUCUAGUAGUAAACCGUGUUCCAAUGGGGACCAAGAUCCAUCCGAGAACCUAAAACCCAGACUCCAGACUAUUCGUAAUGAUGGAAGACAGCCAUUAUGACGGACAGUUAACUCAAACACUGCAAUCAUAUCAGAAUUUACAAUACAAAAGUGUAACACCAUUUGAAGCAUUCCUGGACCCACUAGAUUUGGUACUUAUACACUGACUGAUCAUCACUAUUGCUGAUGAUGGUACAAGUACGAUGCCAAGUCCACUAUUCUUCAGUGAGAAACAUUAAGAUCAGAUAUCCAUGGGCAUUGACCUUCUAUUCUGGAAUUGAAUACAAUGAUUCAAUUUUCAAAUCCAUCAUUAAUGGAUUCUUUCUGAUCUGGCAUCGUUAUGGCACUGUACACUCAAAAAUACAAGUUGCUGUGGUGUUGAUUCAAUUGCCAUUGUCAGUGCGUAUACGUUGCUGACUGAAUAAAUCAAAUCCUGUUUCAAAAGAUGCAUCACAGAGAAGCAAGCUGAAAUAGGAAAUAACAUCCAACACACUUGGAAAACAAAUGCUUUAUUUCUAUAGAGGAUGUUUGAUUCUGCAAUCAAUUACAGCUUCUUACAUAAUUCCCAUAUGGUUCAAUUCCAUCAAGCACUAAUAGCAUGCUGGCUUUGCUUAAUAUACCAUACCUGACCAAUGUACAAUGUUCAAUGGUAUGAACAACCACACAAAAAUCACUUCUGGAAUUCACAUGGGAUGUUACAAAGAACCUGUUCCAGCUUUUCCAGAUGUAAGGUAGCAGGGUUAUAACCAAAAGAUACUGAUGUGCAUUGACAGUACCAGUUACUUUGCGUGAUCAUUGUAAUCCAUGGAUUUCUCUCUUUGUAUUCAAGAGAGCUGUACAUAUGUCUGAUUACUUUGUAUUAUUAGUAUGGUCUACAGUAAAUUAAACUGUUUACUCUUACAGUGGUUGCUCAUUUUUACUAGGAGAUUUAAAAAUGUCAUUAUACUAAACUUGAAGCUUGAAUGUGCAAUAAAUUAUACACUACUGAUUCAUAUCAAAAGGAAUCAAUCUACAUCACAACAACGUGGAAAUGAUGAAGUGAUUCAAGUGGUACCAUCUGACGGUGCUUUAUUCACCCAAUACAUUCACCAAGCACGUUAUUUAGCU